rnacentral:lncRNA from 1 species
CCUCUACCAUCUAUUGGAGUACUCUUCACUACUCUACUAGUCACAGAGGGCCUCCCUUACGUGCCCCCGCAUCCAAUGAUCUGUGAAAGACUUUCAGUCUGAUGAUGACUCAAAACUAGAGAACUCAAUGGUCGCCUAUUUGAGGUGAUACAGCCCACCCUAGAGUCUACAUGCGGCAACCUCCUCGAAGGUCCGAUGAUCGGCUUCCUCAUCCUUAAAAGUCUCGAAUCGAUAGUA